UGGCUCAGGACACGCUUGGCGGCGCGCCUAACACAUGCAAGUCGAACGAGAGAUGAAGAGCUUGCUCUUCAGAUCGAGUGGCGAACGGGUGAGUAACGCGUGAGGAACCUGCCUCAAAGAGGGGGACAACAGUUGGAAACGACUGCUAAUACCGCAUAAGCGCACGGUAUCGCAUGAUACAGUGUGAAAAACUCCGGUGGUAUAAGAUGGACCCGCGUCUGAUUAGCUUGUUGGUGAGGUAACGGCCCACCAAGGCGACGAUCGGUAGCCGGACUGAGAGGUUGAACGGCCACAUUGGGACUGAGACACGGCCCAGACUCCUACGGGAGGCAGCAGUGGGGAAUAUUGCACAAUGGGGGAAACCCUGAUGCAGCGACGCCGCGUGGAGGAAGAAGGUCUUCGGAUUGUAAACUCCUGUUGUUGAGGAAGAUAAUGACGGUACUCAACAAGGAAGUGACGGCUAACUACGUG
rnacentral:rRNA from 1 species